CACCCAACCCCCACCCCCACCCCGCCCAUGUCCUCGCGCCCCUGCUCCCCGCCCCACCCGAGCUAAAAAUUGCGAAGCUUUCCGAAUGGAGGUGACCGUCGGGUAACCCAUCGUCCGUCCGCCCCCGCCAUGAGCCCGUGAUUCCUAGCAAGUUCUCCGGGGUUCCGGAUUUGGUUCAGAUUUGUGGGCGUGUUCCCGUGGGGGAACUGAUGGUGGGUUACAUGGAGUGGUCGCACGAUUGGCUGCUGUGGGACGCCUUCUUGGAAUGCGGAGGGAUCCGGAGGCCGCCGAUUAGAUAGCGGCCGGGGAGGAGGGAGGAGCGGAGGACCAGGAGGAGGCCGCCAUUAGCACCCACCCUGCCACCCACCCACCACCCCGACGCCCGACUCGCCGCCCUGCCUGCCACCCAUGGGGGAGGACCUCGUCACCACCCUGUCCAUGGAGAACGGCGGCGGCGGCGGGGGCCACCACGGCCUCUGCACCCUGCUCUCCAUGGACCCCUCCGGUCACCUCGACGACCGCGCCGUCGGCGUCAUGGUGCAGCCACGCGCCAGAGGUGGCGCGCGCGCCCACGCCCACGCCGUGUCCCUCUCCGGCGCCCCGCCGCCCGACAUCAACCAGCCGUGGCAGACGGAGCCCUGCGACAUGCUCGGCGUCGGCCUCGGGCCGCAGGUCUUCGAAGCCGAGGCCGUGCUCAGCACCGCUCCCAAGGCUGCCGCCGGGAGCCGCAAGACCACCAAGCGCGGGGACAGCAUCUGGGGCGCCUGGUUCUUCUUCACCUUCUACUUCAAGCCCCUGCUGUCGGACAAGGCCAAGAGCAAGGUCGUCCGGGACGCCAACGGCGUGUCGGGGUUCGACAAGUCGGACCUCCGGCUCGACAUGUUUCUGGUGCAGCACGACAUGGAGAACAUGUACAUGUGGGUGUUCAAGGAGAGGCCGGACAACGCCCUCGGGAAGAUGCAGCUGAGGAGCUACAUGAAUGGGCACUCACGCCCUGGCGAGCCGCAUUUCCCUUUCAGCGUGGACAGGGGAUUUGUCCGGUCGCACCGGAUGCAGCGCAAGCACUACCGGGGCCUCUCGAACCCGCAGUGCAUCCACGGGAUUGAGGUGGUGAGUUCGCCGAAUCUCGUGGGCAUCACAGAUGUGGACCGGAGGAGGUGGGCGGAGCUCACAGGGAGAGAGCUCAAUUUCUCCAUCCCACAGGAGGCCAGCGAUUUCGGGACAUGGAGGACCAUGCCAAACUCAGAGCUUGAGCUGGAGAGGCCACACACACAUCCUGCCAUGAAGAGCAAUACUAAUAAUGUUCAGCAGCAACCCCCCAAGAAGACGCUUAAUGGAUCAGGCUUGAAUUUGUCAUCGCCAUCCAAUCAUUCAGGAGAGGACGGUAUGGAUCUCUCCCCUGUCAGCAGCAAGCGAAGGAAGGAGGCAUUUCCACAUGCCAUGGAUGAGGAGUGCUUCUUGCCUCUGAACCCUUGCACUGGGAGGACACAACAAGAUAUCGAGAUGCAGUCGGUAGUGCAGCCUUCGUGGAUGCACGAGUUCACCGGGGUGAUGAGGAAGGCCUCUGGGCCAGCAACUGCUGCCAAGUCCAUUUACGAGGAUGAUCAGGGCUACUUGAUAAUGGUCAGCUUACCAUUUGUCGAUCAACAGAGGGUAAAAGUUUCAUGGAAGAACACUCCUACUCAUGGCAUAGUUAAAAUCUUCUGUGUCAGUACAGCCCGGAUGCCAUACAUAAGGAGACAUGACAGGGUCUUCAAGCUCACUGACGCCAUGCCCGAGCACUGCCCUCCUGGGGAGUUCAUCCGUGAAAUACCUCUAGCCACCCGUAUCCCCGAAGAUGCCAAGCUUGAGGCAUGCUUUGAUGAGGCCGCUGCAGUUCUUGAGAUCAUGGUCCCCAAACGGGGAAACGAGCCGGAAGAACAUGAAGUUAGGGUCUCCAUGCGCCCUCCUCACCUGGGAGUGAACGACCUGCUUAUGACAUAGGUAAUGGAAGGUCUAUCUUGUGUGUGAUCACCAGAUCAUAUGCUCCAAGGGGCUACUGUUAGCAUCUUGUUCCGAGACUGUUGCUGUUGCUUACUGUGCCUGGCCUCUUCAGCAACAAGCUUUUGCUGAAGAUUAGUUCGUUCUAGCUUGUAUGUGACGGGUGUCUUUUUAACCCUCGUGUUCUCUUCUCCUAGCAUCAUAUUGUGGGCCUGUUUGUCCUUGAAUCUGUACCAGUUAACAGAAUAAAAAUUUAUAUUUGGUGGGUUACUGCUCAAUUUUUGGAUCUGGAUUAUAGUAACAAUUCUUAUGUUAGUACCAGUCUGUACUUCCCAAAUUUACAAUGUUCUUUGCAGUUAAGAGAUUAAUUCAGUGCUUCAGCUUAU
rnacentral:rRNA from 1 species